UUGGCAAAACUGUUUCCAUAUUCAUAUAACAAACAUUUGCCUCCAAAGUAUAUUGAGUAUAUCGGCAGAAGAUAUAAAUUGAAAGUGAUUUCGUUUGCCAUCAGUUUGAAGGAAUCCUUGUUGCAGUGAUGAUUUAGAUGUAAACAAGGAAGUGGGUGAAAUUUAUUUAGCAACAAUGAAUGUUUUGUUUUCGUAUGUGCUGUUUGCGUGUGUUAGCUAUACAUACUGUAAGGUAUAUACAAGAGAAGAAGUUGAUGUUGUGAAUUCUGGUUCACCAGGAAGACUAAUAAGCAACAACAUUCAACACUUUGAUUCAGCUGACACAAAUGGAUGUGCUUGUGUCAAAUACAACUGUGGAUGUUGCGCUCAUCUUGAGUUUGAUAAGAUUCAUAUCAAUGAUACAGGAUGUGUAAACCUGACAUAUUUGCCUGACCAGUAUGGUAUCUCCUUCACAUUUAGUAUAGAUGGUAGAGUGCUCUAUAAUGAGACAAUUUCUGCAAGAAACCCUCCCCCAGUAUGCAUAGGGGUACCAUACCUAGAGAAGUAUGCCAGUGUUUGCCUGGACUUCUAUAAUCUGGAUAUCAGCAAAACAGCCUUCUCAGGCUGCAUUAAAGUGGAAGCUCGGCUCGAUAAGAUCAAAAUUGCAGACAAAGAGUUUGGGUGUUUUAAAAUCCCCUUGAAGAAACAUUAUAACAUGCUCAGUAAGAUGGAUGGGAAGCCUAGUGUCUUGGUGACAUAACUUUGUUAAAAUGUUCAAAUACUUUUCUUAAGGGGGAUUGCAGUACAUGUAUACAAUAUGCAGUAUGGCAAAAUUGAUAAAAUGUCAAAAUGCUUGCUACAUAUUAAGGAUCUCAUCUUACAUAUUUCGUCACACAUAAACGAACAAAAGUUGAACAUAUUACUCAUCUUAGAGUUCCUUGAGAAUACAAUGAAUAAGUGAGACUCCAAGUUUUAACGAUUUAUUGAAGUUAAACUGUCUAAGGCAUUUGAGAAUAGUAUGGUAUAUCUCAGAUGCUUUAUAGCAUACACCUUUGAAGUACGUUUCUAUUUAAUUAGCAAUUACACAAUGUGAAACAAGAGUUGGUGAAAACAAAUGCUCAUUAUUUAAUAACAUACAGGUUUUGGCGUCAGUAGCGUUAUGUCCAGUGUUCAGAUUAAAUAAAUUGGAUCAAUAGUUUCAAAUGGAGAGAUGUUCAGAUUAGAGAGGUGUUCAUAUAUAGAUUUUGAUAUUUGAAUAUUUAGCGCUGUUAGACAUUUUUUAAAAUAAUGUUUUUUUUGCGGUAGAAUUGUUGACAGCUGAUGGUU
rnacentral:misc_RNA from 1 species